UAAAAAUUAGUUAAUUUAUAAUAUAAGUUUGUCAAACUUAAGUAAUCUUUAUAAAGAUAUUUUUAA
rnacentral:tRNA from 1 species